rnacentral:rRNA from 1 species
UCCUACGGGGGGCUGCAGUGAGGAAUAUUGGUCAAUGGGCGCAAGCCUGAACCAGCCAAGUAGCGUGCAGGAUGACGGCCCUAUGGGUUGUAAACUGCUUUUAUGCGUGGAUAAAGUGAGGGACGUGUCCCUCAUUGCAGGUACCGCAUGAAUAAGGACCGGCUAAUUCCGUGCCAGCAGCCGCGGUAAUACGGAAGGUCCAGGCGUUAUCCGGAUUUAUUGGGUUUAAAGGGAGCGUAGGCUGCCCCUCAAGCGUGUUGUGAAAUGUACCGGCUCAACCGGUGAAUUGCAGCGCGAACUGUGGGGCUUGAGUGUGCGGAAAGUAGGCGGAAUUCAUGGUGUAGCGGUGAAAUGCUUAGAUAUCAUGAAGAACUCCGAUUGCGAAGGCAGCUUACUGCAGCACAACUGACGCUGAGGCUCGAAAGUGCGGGUAUCGAACAGGAUUAGAUACCCUUGUAGUC